AUGACGUUGGUGGGAGAUCUGCACAGAGCAGCCACGUCUCCGCCGUCGAGAGGUGAGGGAGGAUUUUUCAACGCCAUCAUGAGCUUUCCUUCUAAUUACCCGAACAGCCCUCCAACAAUGAAGUUUACUUCAGAGAGUUAUGGCAUCCCAAUGUUUAUCCUGAUGGGCGCAUUUGCAUUUCCAUUCUUCAUCCUCCUGCUGAUGAUCCAAAUGGCUAUGAGCUUGCAAGUGAGCGUUGGGCACCUGUGCAUACGAAGGAAUGGAGAGAUCGAAGAGAUGAUUUCAAGAGGAAGGUCGGUCGUUGCGUGAGAAAGUCACAAGAGAUGUUGUGAAAUAUGAUCUGCAG